rnacentral:rRNA from 1 species
GACGAACGCUGGCGGCGUGCUUAACACAUGCAAGUCGAACGGAAAGGCCCUGCUUUUGUGGGGUGCUCGAGUGGCGAACGGGUGAGUAACACGUGAGUAACCUGCCCUUGACUUUGGGAUAACUUCAGGAAACUGGGGCUAAUACCGGAUAGGAGCUCCUGCUGCAUGGUGGGGGUUGGAAAGUUUCGGCGGUUGGGGAUGGACUCGCGGCUUAUCAGCUUGUUGGUGGGGUAGUGGCUUACCAAGGCUUUGACGGGUAGCCGGCCUGAGAGGGUGACCGGCCACAUGGGGACUGAGAGACGGCCCAGCCUCCUACGGGAGGCAGCAGGGGGGAAUAUUGCACAAUGGGCGGAAGCCUGAUGCAGCAACGCCGCGUGCGGGAUGACGGCCUUCGGGUUGUAAACCGCUUUCGCCUGUGACGAAGCGUGAGUGACGGGAAUGGGUAAAGAAGCACCGGCUAACUACG